GAGGGUAUAGCUCAGUAGUAGAGUGUGUACCUAGCAUUCAUGAGGUCCUGGGUUCAAUUCCCAGUACCUCCA
rfam:Camelus ferus unplaced genomic scaffold scaffold743, whole genome shotgun sequence.